rnacentral:misc_RNA from 1 species
UAAUGUGGAUGCAAAAAAGCGGGUUCCUGUGUUGCAUACCCUAUUGCGACGGAAAUUUGUGCCUAUUGUUGUGCCUUUCAACGCGGCAUCCUCUUUGGGUGCUCGGUUGGACUAGAUAGUGGGUCUUGUGUUCCUCGAACGUCUCAUUUGAUGGUUCGGAUGGACCGCGGGUGCUCACUUGCUCUCUCGGAUGCGGAACUUUCUUCAUGGGUGUUGGGGUCAUCGGCCCUUGUUCCCAAUCUCAAGCGUUUAUCGCUUUAUUGAAAUGACGCUCUAGCCUUGUCUUUGACCGCGUGGAGCUCUUGAGCUCCAUGAUGGAUCAUGCUCGGCGGACGUCGUGAAGGAAUGCUACCUGGUUGAUCCUGCCAGUAGUCAUAUGCUUGUCUCAAAGAUUAAGCCAUGCAUGUGUAAGUAUGAACUAAUUCAGA